AUCGGAGUAGGAGAUAGAGCGUUAAGUGCCGAUGGAACGGAAUAUGAACAUCGGACAAAGGGUAUCACUUUGCCAGCCCGCGACUCUACCUCCGCAUUCGCCGCA
rnacentral:ncRNA from 2 species